rnacentral:rRNA from 1 species
CCUACGGGAGGCAGCAGUGAGGAAUAUUGGUCAAUGGACGCAAGUCUGAACCAGUCAUGCCGCGUGCAGGAAGACGGCUCUAUGAGUUGUAAACUGCUUUUGUACGAGGGUAAACGCAGAUACGCGUGUCUUUCUGAAAGUAUCGUACGAAUAAGGAUCGGCUAACUCCGUGCCAGCAGCCGCGGUAAUACGGAGGAUUCAAGCGUUAUCCGGAUUUAUUGGGUUUAAAGGGUGCGUAGGCGGUCGGAUAAGUUAGAGGUGAAAUCCCGAGGCUCAACUUCGGAAUUGCCUCUGAUACUGGUCGGCUAGAGAGUAGUUGCGGUAGGCGGAAUGUAUGGUGUAGCGGUGAAAUGCUUAGAGAUCAUACAGAACACCGAUUGCGAAGGCAGCUUACCAAGCUACUUCUGACGUUGAGGCACGAAAGCGGGGGGAGCAAACAGGAUUAGAUACCCCUGUAGUC